rnacentral:rRNA from 1 species
UGGGGAACCUGCCCCAUAGUCUGGGAUACCACUUGGAAACAGGUGCUAAUACCGGAUAAGAAAGCAGAUCGCAUGAUCAGCUUUUAAAAGGCGGCGUAAGCUGUCGCUAUGGGAUGGCCCCGCGGUGCAUUAGCUAGUUGGUAAGGUAAAGGCUUACCAAGGCGAUGAUGCAUAGCCGAGUUGAGAGACUGAUAGGCCACAUUGGGACUGAGACACGGCCCAAACUCCUACGGGAGGCAGCAGUC